CCUGAACGCUGGCGGCGUGGCUAAGACAUGCAAGUCGCACGGGCCUGGUAACAGGUCAGUGGCGAACGGGUGAGUAAUGUAUCGCUAACGUACCCUGGACUUUGGGAUAGCUCUCCGAAAGGGGAGGUAAUACCAGAUGAGACCACAACCUCGCAUGGGGUGGUGCUCAAAGGUCCGCCGGUCUGGGAGCGGGCGAUAUCGUAUCAGCUAGUUGGUGCGGGUAACGGCCCACCAAGGCGACGACGCGUAGCCGGACUGAGAGGUCGGUCGGCCACAUCGGGACUGAGACACUGCCCGGACUCCUACGGGGGCUGCAGUAACGAAUCUUCCCCAAUGCACGCAAGUGUGAGGGAGCGACGCCGCGUGGAGG
rnacentral:rRNA from 1 species